UACGAAGGACCCAAGCGUUAUCCGGAUUUAUUGGGUUUAAAGGGUGCGUAGGCGGGCUAUUAAGUCAGUGGUGAAAGCUCCGAGCUUAACUCGGAAACUGCCAUUGAUACUGACGGUCUUGAGUACAUUUGAGGUGGGCGGAAUGUGUCAUGUAGCGGUGAAAUGCUUAGAUAUGACACAGAACACCGAUUGCGAAGGCAGCUCACUAAACUGUAACUGACGCUGAGGCACGAAAGCGUGGGAGCAAACAGG
rnacentral:rRNA from 1 species